rnacentral:lncRNA from 11 species
CUGGACUUAACGUCAGGGGAAAACCUUUACCUUAUAUCUAUAUAUAUGUUGGGGGGGUGAACUCCCCAGGAGGUGAAACAGGCUAGACAUCAUAUCAUAUAUUUUAUUUAUUUAUUAGACUUGUAUACCGCUACUCCCAAUUUGGCUCGGAGCGGUUUAAAGAAAUAGAUUAAAACAAUAUAAUUAGCUUUAAAAUAACACACACACACACAUAUAUAUAUAUAUGAAUGAGAGAUAUAUAUGUGUGUGUUUUUAAAGUGCAACUCCAGCCAAAUAUAUAUAUUGUUUGACUUUAGGUUGUAUAGGGAAUGGUGAACGCCCCUGUGGUGUUUGUUUUGCUAUCUGUUCAGAGGAUUUUGUCUCACUUUCUGUCCCUGUGAGAAUGGGAUUUGGAAAAUUUGGCUUGUGGAAACAAGGAUUGGAGAUAAAGCUUCAGUGGUGACACUUUUUCCCUGAUAAUAACUCUUUCAGGACUGGAUUUCCCUUCUUUAUUUAUUUACCUUAUUUCUACCUGUGAAGGGGACUCAAGCGGGCUUACAUAUGGCAACCAUUAGAUGCCUUAAAAUACAUACAAAUCCUUUGAAGGGAGGAUUUCUCUCACUUCCUGUUGUUUCAGCCCUGUCCUUAACUAGGAGUUGUGUGUAAGUCAGAUGUUUGUAACUCAGGAUGUUUAUAAUCAAAUGCGUAUCUUUCCUUAUACUCACGCUACUUUUCUUCUUUUCCUCCUUGGCUUCUUUCAGGGGUGACAGAGGCCGCGGCCGUGGUGGGCGCUUUGGUUCUCGCGGAGGUCCUGGCAGCGGGUUCCGUCCCUUUGUGCCUCACAUCCCUUUCGACUUCUAUGUGUGUGAGAUGGCUUUCCCUCGUGUGAAACCUGCUCCGGAUGAGACUGCCUUCAGCGAAGCCUUGCUGAAGAGGAACCAGGACCUCGCUCCAACGUCUGCUGAACAGGUGAAAAUAUGGCAAAUUUUUGGGGCCUCACUGAUAUGCAGAGGGGUAGAAAUCAUAUCUGCUAUCCAUCAUAGUUGUGGGCAUGGUUUGGAAAUGAAGGGCGGCCAAAGCUUGCCUAAGUUUUGUGUACGUAAGCUUUCCCAAACCCUUUGAUGGCCAAUUACAUAAUCUGUACCACUUUGAACAUUUUGAAUGUCUAUGUCUAUUAUAUUAUAAUGUAAUUUAUAUACCCUAUUAUAUAAUUAUAUAAAUUAAAUAUAUUUAUAUAUUUAUUUUAUCAU